UGUCCGAUGGUGUAAAGGUAGCACAGAGGUCUUUGGAGCCUUUAGUCCAGGUUCGAAUCCUGGUCGGACAGCCA
rnacentral:tRNA from 2 species